AAUUACUAAGUUACUUUUAUAUUUUUGUAAGUAUUUGAUCCAACUAAUGAUGUUGCUUUAUUUUUGAAGGUUGGAUUAGCUGCUAUCCUAAAGGGCUUUGUCCUAACAUGUCAAGAUGGAACAACAUAGCUCUCUAUGUCCUUGCACUAAUUUCAAGCAUAGUUUUAAGCAUGGCCAGUAUCAAUGUUUGUACAGAGUAGUAUGGCUGAGGAAUACUAAUGCUUCUGGGCUUUGGUGACAUUGAUCCCAGACAAUUUUACUAGAAUCGAUCUCUCUGAC